rnacentral:rRNA from 1 species
UUUUAGGUGUAAAUUGGUUAAAUUUGACCUACCAGAGUACUAUGAACUUUUAGUUUAAAACUCAAAGAACUUGGCGGUGCCCUAGACCACUCAGGGGAACCUGUUCCAUAAUCGACAGUCCACGUUGAACCUUACCUUCUUUUGCGUUACAGUAUGUAUACCGUUGUCGUCAGGUAACUUUUAAAAGUAAUAAAGUUAGCAAAAAAGUUUUUAGCUCUCACGUCAGAUCAAGGUGCAGCUAACAAGAAGGUGAGAAUGGGUUACAAUUAUGAAUAAUAAUAUGAAAAAUUAAGUGAAAUCUUUUUAUGAAAGAGGACUUGAAAGUAAGAUUUAAAAAUCUAAAUUUUCUGAAUCUCUGGCUCUGGGGCGUGC